rnacentral:rRNA from 1 species
GCUAGUUGGCGGGGUAACAGCCCACCAAGGCGAUGACCGGUAGCUGGACUGACAGGACGACCACCCACACUGGAACUGAGACACGGUCCAGACACCUACGGGUGGCAGCAGUCGAGAAUUUUUCUCAAUGGGGGCAACCCUGAAGGAGCGACGCCGCGUGGAGGAAUAGGUCUUCGGCUUGUAAACUCCUGUCAUUUGGGAACAAAUACCUGAUUUAACUGAUUAGGAACUGAUAGUACCUAAGAGGAAGAGACGGCUAACUCGGUGCCAGCAGCCGCGGUAAUACAGAGGUCUCAACCGUUGUUCGGAUUCAUUGGGCGUAAAGGGUGCGUAGGCGGUCGCGCAAGUCGGAUGUGAAAUCUUAGGGCUCAACCCUGAAACUGCAUUCGAUACUGCGUGGCUCGAGUACUGGAGAGGAGACUGGAAUUUACGGUGUAGCAGUGAAAUGCGUAGAUAUCGUAAGGAAGACCAGUGGCGAAGGCGAGUCUCUGGACAGUUACUGACGCUGAGGCACGAAGGCCAGGGGAGCAAACGGGAUUAGAUACCCCGGUAGUCCUGGCAGUAAACG